rnacentral:sRNA from 1 species
UGAUACCAGAAGCCAUUUUUCGCAGAAAAAUGAGCGGAUUGCGAAUGUUUUUGAGGAUUGUGAGAGCACGCAGUGCGGAGCAAUCCGGUAUCA